GACGAACCAUGCAAACGUUAUUCGGAUUCACUGGGCUUAAAGCGUGCGUAGGCGGUCUUGUUAGUCAGGUGUGAAAGCCCUCAGCCUAACUGAGGAAUUGCGCUUGAUACUGCAUGACUAGAGAAUGAUAGAGGUGGGUGGAACUGAUGGUGGAGCGGUGAAAUGCGUUGAUAUCGAGAGGAACACCUGCGGCGAAGGCGGGUUGCUGGGCUGACACUGACGCUGAUGCGCGAAAGCCAGGGGAGCGAACGGG
rnacentral:rRNA from 1 species